GAUGAACGCUGGCGGCGUGCCUAAUACAUGCAAGUCGAGCGAACGGACGAGAAGCUUGCUUCUCUGAUGUUAGCGGCGGACGGGUGAGUAACACGUGGAUAACCUACCUAUAAGACUGGGAUAACUUCGGGAAACCGGAGCUAAUACCGGAUGAUAUUUUGAACCGCAUGGUUCAAAAGUGAAAGACGGUCUUGCUGUCACUUAUAGAUGGAUCCGCGCUGCAUUAGCUAGUUGGUAAGGUAACGGCUUACCAAGGCAACGAUGCAUAGCCGACCUGAGAGGGUGAUCGGCCACAAUGGAACUGGGCCACGGUCCAGACCCCUACGGGGGGCAGGAGUAGGGAAUCUUCCGCAAGGGGCGAAAGCCUGACGGAGCAACGCCGGGGGAGUGAUGAAGGUCUUCGGAUCGUAAAACUCUUUUAUUAGGGAAGAAAAAUUGUGUAAGUAACUGGGCAAAUCUGGGCGGUACCAAAUCAAAAAGCCCCGGCUAACUACGG
rnacentral:rRNA from 1 species